rnacentral:rRNA from 1 species
UACGAAGGGGGCUAGCGUUGCUCGGAAUCACUGGGCGUAAAGGGUGCGUAGGCGGGUCUUUAAGUCAGGGGUGAAAUCCUGGAGCUCAACUCCAGAACUGCCUUUGAUACUGAAGAUCUUGAGUCCGGGAGAGGUGAGUGGAACUGCGAGUGUAGAGGUGAAAUUCGUAGAUAUUCGCAAGAACACCAGUGGCGAAGGCGGCUCACUGGCCCGGUACUGGCGCUGAGGUGCGAAAGCGUGGGGAGCAAACAGG